CCUACGGGUGGCAGCAGUGGGGAAUAUUGGACAAUGGGGGGAACCCUGAUCCAGCCAUGCCGCGUGUGUGAAGAAGGCCCUCGGGUUGUAAAGCACUUUCAGUGAGGAAGAACGCCUGGUGGUUAAUACCCAUCAGGAAAGACAUCACUCACAGAAGAAGCACCGGCUAACUCCGUGCCAGCAGCCGCGGUAAUACGGAGGGUGCGAGCGUUAAUCGGAAUUACUGGGCCUAAAGCGCGCGUAGGUGGCUUGAUAAGCCGGUUGUGAAAGCCCCGGGCUCAACCUGGGAACGGCAUCCGGAACUGUCAAGCUAGAGUGCAGGAGAGGAAGGUAGAAUUCCCGGUGUAGCGGUGAAAUGCGUAGAGAUCGGGAGGAAUACCAGUGGCGAAGGCGGCCUUCUGGACUGACACUGACACUGAGGUGCGAAAGCGUGGGUAGCAAACAGGAUUAGAUACCCCGGUAGUC
rnacentral:rRNA from 1 species